rnacentral:misc_RNA from 1 species
ACAACUCCGAAGAGAAAAGUUCCAGGGACACUGUGUGGUCAGAGCUCUUUGAGCUGUUGGAUGGUCUUAAUCAUCAGACAACGCAUAGUUGUCCUUCUAGAGAGAGAUUUUUCUCUCUUUGUUUCCGCUGCGACUAUCCCCUGCUUCUUUCAGGCAGGAAUAGUGUUCCUCUUGUGAGUUUCCCUUCUUGUCUCUGGGGCUAGGCUAUAAAUAGAGUUUGGGUGUGUUGUUUGCAUGCUGG